UUUACAUAAAUUCGACAAAAGCAAUCCGAAGAACGAGAUGGACAGAUUUAUAAUUCGAGAGCUGGCUGUAAUCCGUAUUCUUCAUCAUCCCAACAUCAUCAAGUUCAUAAAGACUAUCGAAACAAGCAAACGGUUCAAUGCAGAUGCCACCACCUCCAUUACAUGGUGCCCUGCAACCUAGUUCUGUGGCUCCACCAAUAAGACCACCUUCAUCAGGACCAUUACCAUUUCCACCUGGACAUCCUCCACCUCCACCUCCUCCUCCACCACCACCACCAUCAGGUGGUAUACCACCUCCACCGCCAGUACCUCCACCCGUGUCGAGUUAUGCAGGCAUGCCUCCACCUCCACCACCACCAACCGUUCCUCCUCCUCCACCACCUCCACCCAGUACUAGUUCUUCUCAGAUACCAGUACCUUCCAGUAAUGAACCCGGACCUGGUGAGAUGAUGCAACAAAGACAGGUAUCACCCGCUAUGCCACCACAACCUAUGGGAAUGCCGCCACCACCGCCCCCACCACCAUUCCAGGGAGGAGGUAUGCCUCCUCCGCCACCACCCGGAAUGCGACCACCCCCACAAAUGAGCAUGAACUUUGGACCCAGACCGCCACCUUUUGUUAAAUUAUAAGAAGAGAGAUUCCUCAUCAACGUCAACAUAUAUUUCGAAAUGCAAUCCGUUAUUCAGAAAAAUUUCAAUUCUGCGAGAAUAUUCAUUGCUAAUACAGAAGCUGAAGAAAGCGGCUCUGAAAUGUUUGAGAGCGAAUGGAAACCUUUACUAAAAUAUGUCUGAAGUAUUAAUUCAUCAAGAUGUCGGAAGUGUUAAUAGCAUCCGAAGUAUCCUGUAAUUAAAAAAGCUUCCAAAUUUCAAAUAGAUAAAAUUCAUACUUAAUACCUGGGCGAACAAAAAUUUCCGUGAAUUUUUCAUGAACCGUCGGUUUUGUUCCUCACUACUCGGACACUCACUUUGUGGGCCUGGCCUAUUCCAAGAUGAGUAAAUCAGUAUUAAAAAAAGGCCUUCUUAGUACCCAUAAAAAUAUAAUUAAAAAGAAAACGCAUUUCACACCCAUUUUAUUCUGACAACAAUAAUGAUGUAUAGGAAAUAUAAAAUAAACUUUGUUUUAUUAUUGUUAUUAUUAAGAAUGUAUACACAAGAACUUGUAAUAAAGAAAUGUAAAGAGAAAUAAUGACUUUCUCGACAUUAUUUGCAACAAAAUCAAUCGAUGAAGUGUAUUUUUUAUCAAAGGCUCCAUGAACUAACAAACCUUCAAUAUUUCUCAAAAUUACGUAAAGCGAAUGGUAAAGGAAACAUUUCCAGUUUAUCAAUAUAUAUUCAAAAAUAACAAGAAAAUGAAUAAAGUUCAAGUAUUUUCAUCUCAAGAUGAAUCUGAAAGCAAUGGAGACAACUUGCAGGGUCAUUGGAAG
rnacentral:misc_RNA from 1 species